rnacentral:rRNA from 1 species
UGGGGAAUUUUGGACAAUGGGCGCAAGCCUGAUCCAGCAAUGCCGCGUGCAGGAUGAAGGCCUUCGGGUUGUAAACUGCUUUUGUACGGAACGAGAAGCUUCUGGUUAAUACCUGGGAGUCAUGACGGUACCGUAAGAAUAAGCACCGGCUAACUACGCGCCAGCAGCCGCGGUAAUACGUAGGGUGCGAGCGUUAAUCGGAAUUACUGGGCGUAAAGCGUGCGCAGGCGGUUAUGUAAGACAGAGGUGAAAUCCCCGGGCUCAACCUGGGAACUGCCUUUGUGACUGCAUGGCUAGAGUGCGGCAGAGGGGGAUGGAAUUCCGCGUGUAGCAGUGAAAUACGUAGAUAUGCGGAGGAACACCGAUGGCGAAGGCAAUCCCCUGGGCCUGCACUGACGCUCAUGCACGAAAGCGUGGGGAGCAAACA